UGCUAAUUAACAGCAGAAGGGGGAGGAAGAAGUGGCUGUAACGCCGAUUGGUCCAAUCGAUGGGAAGAAGGGCAGAUGUUUGGGGUUGUUGUUGGCUAGAUAAUCACAGGUAUUCCUCUUCUCUCCUUUUUGUUUUGACAGAAAAUCAAUGGAGUCUUGGUGGGUUUUGGGUUUGAUUCUUGACAGAGAAUGGAAGCGAUGAGAAGACACGUGAAGUAGAAGAUGCAGUUGCCUCUUGUUCACUCACUCGAAAACAACCUCUCCUUGGGGUUGUUCUACUUCUUGAUAGCGAGAAAAAAAUUGAAUGAAAAGAAGGGUGUUUGGGUUUGAUCUUCUUUCACUGGAGGAGGGGCUGCUGCUCCUUAGAUCACUGAGAAACCACAAGAAAACCACCUCUAGUGGAGGUGUUCUUGGUUAGGCAUCGUAACAGAAAGAAGGGAGAGGAGUGAGUUUUUGAAUGACUGUGUGACUUUCCCAUGUGAUCAAAACCAGAUAUUUAGAAGUUCUUGAGACAUUGUAAGUACUUGGAAAUCUCUAAAGGAUUGUGGAGGUACAACACUAAAUUGCCCAUGCGUGAGAGGGUGUGUGUUUACUUUCAUUGAUAUAGUCACGUGUAAUGUUCUAGUUCAGAUUUUCAGUUGAUUUUGAUGAUAAAUUUGUGUACAACAAGUUUUGGGAAUGAUCUUGUGUAGAUUGAAUUGCAUAUUAUUGGCUAUUAUUUGUACAUGUAGGUGUUUUGGUUAUAGAGAAAAUUGGUAACAUAUAUGUAUCUAGUUAUGUAUUUUAUUGAAUUUCUAUUAGUCUUCAUAUGUAUUAAUAGUUUCCUUAGGGGGUG
rnacentral:lncRNA from 1 species